AGGGCAUAGCUUAGCAAUAGAGCACCUGCCUAGCAAGCAGGAGGUACUGAGUAAAAACUCAGUACUACUA
rnacentral:tRNA from 1 species